rnacentral:lncRNA from 1 species
AUAAUUUUUUUACAAUAAAAUAAAGCAAUAACCUUUUUUUUUUUGUUAAAAUGUCAAAAAUGUCACCUAAAACAUCUUUUUAUUUUUUUUUUUCAGGACAGAAUUCAGCAGAGAAGCAGCACCCGCAGCAGCCAGAGCCAGCAUCAGAACCCCUAGCAUCCUUCUCUGCAUCACCUCUGGAUCCCUCUGGAACUCAACUGAACAACACACAGGAUAAGAUCGCCUCCCAAAAGACUCCUGCUGAGGCAGCAUCCAUCAGGAGGCGAGAGCAGCUUUUGAGGGAGGCUCUGUUGGGGAGGAGUUCAGGGGUCUACAGUCAGCUUUUCAAACGGUCCACUCCAUCGUUGUCACUACACAAGGAGAAUCCUGAGGCUCGCUUCGAUGACGACAGCAGGCAAGAACACAGAUACAGCGUUUCAGGAAAUAAACUCAGUGAUACUUGACAAAAAUAAACACAUUGAUAAAGUAGUUUAUUGAUCUAAAAAGUUUAUAAGAACUUUAUUUUAUCAUCAACAUUGGAUGCUAAAGGUUUACAAGCUUUUUCAACGUCCCAGGAUCCGGUUUUGGAUUCUUGUGUUCACUUUUAUGGGUCUCGUUCUCCUCUCCUAAAUCAAACCUGAACGUAAUUACACACACACUUCCUAAAACACUCCAAAAACUCAUAAAUUUUGGGUUAACGGUUUUCGCUUUUUUUUUACUUGGAAUUUUGCUCCCAACUGGCAGCAGCAUGUGUUUCUGCUUGGAAAGGCAAACGUUAAAUUUAAGUUGAACAACAAAUCUUGCUAUUAGUUGCUAUUUUUCCACUAUUUAAGCACUAUUGUGCACUAAUUUUAUGGCUUUUUUAAUGAAAUCAUAUUAAAGUACCUUUUUUCUUCUGAACUGUUUUAUAAGUAGCUCUGAUGAGACGCAGAGAAGUUCAGCUCUUUCAGUUCCCAGUUCAGCCGGAGCUUUAAUGGAGCUCUUAGAUGUCUCUGUCCCAGGACAAACCCAGGAAACACUCAAAGGUAACUAUUUGUUUUGUAAAAAAUUACGACGCCAAAAGCAUUUUUUUCUAAGUUUUUGUUAAAAGUGCUGCUCUGUACAUUUUGGUUUCAGAUGAUCCUGGAUCAAGUCAAACAUCGAUUGCUUCUCACUCAGCGGCUGUGUCUCCUUCAUCUGAGAGACGCCCCACAUCUAGCCUCAAAUCUAUUUUGCCACCUAUCCCAAAUGGAAGAAAGAGUCCUGCAGCUGCCAGUCCAGGUUUUUCUUCUAAUGUCAGCCCAAACCCAGGAGUCACAGAGGGUGGGAAAUAAAGAAUAGUUUUAGUGAGUUUGUGCACGUCUUUAAAGCUAAACAUUUUCACUGUAGCCGUCUUAUUAAGAAUCAUAUAAAAGUUGUAGUUUUUGUAAAAAUAAAGACUUUCUUAAAGUCCCACUCCGAUCAUAUUUUCAAAGCGUUCCUAGGAGUCUUUUAAUUUUUUAUGAAAAUACCAUUUUUAGCCAAGAUUUAAAAAAAAAUCUGAGUCAUAAAUCUGCCUCUGAGUUGUGGGCAGUAGGGCUGGGUUGAUAAAAUUGAUUUAAGCAUAAUAGAUCAAUACUCAAUUCAUAAAUGCAUGCUGACUACAUGAACAGAUUUAUUUUUUUUACAGUCAUGUAUUUUCCAAACUUUAUUUAAGGAAUUUUUUAAACUCAUUUUUGCUUAUUCUUCUUGAAAAAAGAAUAGUGCAAUUGCCACUUAUUGGCCAAAUUGAAACUAAAUAAUUGUAUUAUUUCCCUAAUAAAAUUUACAGUUUGUGAACUGUAUCAGAUUAAUAGAAAUAUGUUCAAAACAUAAAGUAGAUUAUUAAUGUAUUUCUAAACAAAUGUGUUUAAAUGUGUAAAAUUGAAUUGAAUUGAAUAACAUUGAGAGGAUCAAAAGAAUUGAAAAAAAUCGGAAUCGAAUCGAUCCAAACUCUUGUGAAUCCAAUCGAAUCGUUUCUGGAAAUUAUUAUCAAUACCCAGCUCUAGUAGGCGGGAUCGUCAGCACAGAGCAACUCCGCCCCAUUUCCCCUCUCCGUUGCUGAGAGCUCAGAAUAUUUUCUAAGUCGCAAAUAAGCUCUUUUUCUGAGCAAUUUUUUCGUCUGCUCCUGAUUCACGACACUUUGAAUUAAGAAUUACUCAUAAAUGCAGUUUUUAGUUUGAUUGUCUGAAUUAAUGUCAGAAAAAUGCCACUAGAACAUGUUAAAAAACAUAAUUUUCUUCGGAGUGGGUCUUUAACUUCAUAUUUCACAGCAAAAGCAUUUAAAGCAUCAAACGUAAAAGGUAAACUGAAAAAUAUUUAUUUCACCACAGCUAUUGGCUUAACCUGGUGCAGUUAAGAUAAUAGUUCCAAAAAAUGUUGAGGUCUAAUGUUAAACCUCGACAUUUUAGGUUUAAUGUUAGAAUUCACAUUUUUAGAAAAACAAAAAGAUUGUCAAAUAUAAUAAAAAAAAUGUUUUGAAGACAGUGGGGUUUUACAUUUCCUCAUCUUCAGCCUUGCCACUGAUGUGUCAACGGUGAUCUUUUAUGUGUAACCCGGAGCUGUUGUCAUUGAUGAUAAAUACGUCAUUAAUCUUUAUCUGUUCUGAGGGGAUUAUUUAUUCAACUGGAAAUGCGUUCCUGUGGAGGUUGUUGACAGCUUUGAAACAAUCACAAACAUGUUUCUGAAAGUGAACGUCCCGCUCACAGCCGGCAUGCUCUGCCGUCACGUUUCGGAGUUUCGUACGGCAUUAAUUAGUGAUUCAUCGCAAAUAGAAAUUGUCAGCUGUCACAGAUGCGUGCAUUGCUUAUUUAACCGCUCCCUCAGCCGUGCGGCUUGUAUGUGCAUGUGGAGGUGUGCACACACCGCGCUCCUUUUGUUUCCUGAACUAUAGGUGUGUGUGCAGCUCGUUGUGCGCACACACAAAGCACACCUGGCCAUUCAUCACUGUCUGUCUUCCUCUGAGGCAGCAGAUGUUGCAACCCUGUCAUAAUUCUUUGGAAGUUUGAAGCCAGACUUUGUCUUUAGGGCCCCUGGGGUCUAACCUACUUACACUGCAGUCUGCACCUCACUAAGCCUUAUCACGGACUAGUAUUUUCUGAGAAAUAACAUCACAUUAGAUAGGUGGCUUUAUGAGCACAAUCAAAUAAGUAUAAAAUGGAAUAAAUAAAAUUGGGCUCUGCUUCUGAUUUGCUGGAUUUUUCAAUACUAAAUAAUUUUUUUCUGUCCAUUUCAAGCAUAAGUUAUGAGCAUAGCAACAGGUGGGUUUCUUUAAGUCACACAGAACUGACCAAAGCAUGGAAAAUGUUCUGCUCCCCUUAGUCUGUUCCCCGGUUUGCUAAUCUGAGCUCACUUUAGAGGCAGCUAAAAGAUAAACAUGUCGUUAGCUUUUCCUUUUGUCGUAACUCACCGACACAAAAAACUUUCAUCAGACUCAAAAAGAGAGCUUAUGUUUUCUGGUUUGGGAGAUUUAUGUCUUGAGGUUGUAAAGGACAAGAGCUCAUUACCCAUUCAAAUGCUGCAAAGCAUUUUGGGAAUAUUUCUGGGGAUGUCCAAUUAUAAAAAAAAAACAUUCAAAGUUUCUUCACAACUCACUACUUAGUACACUUCAUAGUGCGUUUGCCAUUUUGUUGUGGUGUCAGAAUCUAUAAUUCCAAAAUCAAGUUCCCUGGAAAUUUCCCAGAAGUCUCUGUGAAAACCAGUGUGCAUCAAUGCCUACUAGAUUGGUGAAUAUAGGUGACAAUGCAUUGCAUUUUAAUGAUUUUUCUUAUGAAAACAAUGUACUUCUAUUUAUUUUAUAAACUAUUUAAGUUUUCAUCAUCAGAACAAAGUGGAUUCAUAAACUGUCUUUGUAAAAUAUUUGUUUUAUUCGUUUUUAUUUAAAAAAAUCUGUAAUAUCAUAUCUAACAUAAAAAAAAUAGUGAGCAUGGUGUUUGAAUUUGCUUUUAAAUUUAGGAAAUAGGGAGGGAAUUCUGACUUUUUUUUAAACAAUAUGCGAAAAAAAUGUAAUUAAAAUAUUAUUUUCAAGAAUCUAAGGCCAAAUCAGAAUUCUUCCCCCAUAACCUCCAUUGAAGGGGCAUAUGAAGGGAUUUGGAUGUCCAAAGUAGUUUAUUUUAGGCCAGAGCGAAAGGACUUUGAGUUCUGUGUCCCUCCGCCAGCAGGGUGGGCCGUAAAGUGCUUUUAAGUACAGAAGUUUACAUUUAAAUGUAAGUAAAGACUUUUUUUUUUGCACGGCUUUUUCAAAGUUAUAAAGCCAAUGUUAUGUAUUUCCGAGGGUUAGCAGCUAGGCACUAACGUAGCUGACCGGUGACAUCAAGUGGGAUUAACAUCUGAAUUCGAAGAUACUAUUAUUCCAUAACUUUCCAUUUGGAGAGCUAUAUGUGUCAUGUAAAAAACAUUUUUAAAUUAUAACAUUUUUUUUGCUUGUUGGUAAGAAAAAAAAUCAAUUGAGAUAGCACAGUCUUAUUACCACAACGGGGCAUUUAACUGCUCAUUUCUAUAGUGACAACAAGCAUGAGUGUCCUCAGUAAAGCUGUUUUUGUUCUUCAGCAGAUUAACUGUGAGGACAUUUUUGUGUCUUAAAAGACUGUCUUCAGACUUUUAAUGCAUUCAUUCGUGUUCAGGAGCCAACUUCAGUUUAACAUAAUGAUACUCUCACGUUGCCAAAGCUAUUUCCAUACUCCAUUUCCCUGUGCCAAUACAGGAUAAUGCUCCGCCUGAACCUCCCAUCACUUUCUUAUAGCUUGCAAAAUGAGCUAACUUGUUAGAUUUUUUAAAAGAAAUAUAUCAGAAUAGUUUCAAACAUCGUGCUUAUUUCUGACACAAACUCUGUGAGAUCUUAACGUGUCCAUUUUCUAACAUUUUUCAUGUCUGCUCCUGCAUUCUUUGGAAGAUACAAGGCCCUGCGGUCAGGCUGACUCUUUAAAGAGUUUUAUAAGCUGCUGCCAUUUUUCCUCCUAGCUUUGGUUUAUACUGGCAUUUUGUUAGUAGAUGCUCAAUUGAAUUUCUCAUUGUGAGUCUUCCUCUGAAAAAUGCCUUGUGAGAAUGCAAGUACAGAAAAGGAGGUUUAUAAGGUCCAGAAUGGACUUUAAAAGGAGUCUGUAAAAGGGCAACAUUAGGAUUCAGAUACAGCAUUUAUUGAAACAGCAAACGCUCCCAGAGCACACGCAGGGAUGAGCAGGAACAAGUCUUCCUUAUUGACUGAGAAAUAUGCAUAAAUCUGCCACUGAAAAAAAAAUCAAAACAAUCUUUAUCUUUGAUGGUCCCUGGCACAUUUGUGUUUUCUUGACUGCCCUUUCUUUUAAAAGACUUUUCAAGUUGUAAUAAAAUGCAUUGUUUUUCUUUGCAAAAAAAUGCUUCAUCUUUAUAUAAAAAAACAUUAAUUAGUAU